GACAGAUCUUUGACAGUACGAGCUGACAUAGUAGGAAGAUAUUCUAAUCGUCUCUUUACAUAUGAGCCUAAUGACAUGGACAUAUUAUAUGCCAAUAUGAAGAGAGCACUCCUUCCAUACCAUACAGAACUAUAAACAACCAUCUGCCAUAUUUCACCAAAGAUGUAAUUUGUGUCUUUUACCUAAAACUGUGUAGGUUAUACAUCCACUACAAGGACUCCCUCAAGGGGUCACUCAGACAUAUCUGUUUUAGUUACUCUGAAAAGCUACUGGAACAUCUGUAAGUGAAAAUAAUAUAUCCUAACAUUCCUUUUUUAUUUUCUGUAUAUUUUACCUUUUAGUGCCUUAAUCUGAAGCAUACAUGACUGAGACAUAACUAAUCCAAUUUUGUGCUACCUUAAGCUCUUUCACAGAAACUGCUGUCAGAAACUGAACUGAAUUAUACUGAAUACUCAUAAUAGAUAUUGUAAUUUAUAGAGCUAACCAGUCAUGUCUAGCCAGUUUUAUAUUUUAAUAUGGAAGUGUAUUCUGUUGACAUUGCAUCCUGUUACAACAUCCAUUCCUUGUCAUUCAUUUGUUUGUUCAGAGCAUAUAUUUGGCUCAGAGUUUUUUACCAUUGUAUAGUUUACAGUGAAUUAGACGAACAUGCUUUAAUA